rnacentral:rRNA from 1 species
GUAGGUGGCAAGCGUUGUCCGGAAUUAUUGGGCGUAAAGCGCGCGCAGGGCGGUCCUUUAAGUCUGAUGUGAAAGGCCCACGGCUCAACCGUGGAGGGUCAUUGGAAACUGGGGGACUUGAGUACAGAAGAGGAAAGCGGAAUUCAAGUGUAGCGGUGAAAUGCGUAGAGAUUUGGAGGAACGACCAGUGGCGAAGGCGGCUUUCUGGUCUGUAACUGACGCUGAGGCGCGAAAGCGUGGGGAGCAAACAGGAUUAGAUACCCUGGUAGUCCACGCCGUAAACGAUGAGUGCUAAGUGUUAGGGGGUUUCCGCCCCUUAGUGCUGCAGCUAACGCAUUAAGCACUCCGCCUGGGGAGUACGGCCGCAAGGCUG